UCGGGAAUAUUGCGCAAUGGAGGAAACUCUGACGCAGUGACGCCGCGUGCAGGAAGAAGGUUUUCGGAUUGUAAACUGCUUUUAGACAGGGAAAGAAAAAAUGACAGUACCUGUAGAAUAAGCUCCGGCUAACUACGUGCCAGCAGCCGCGGUAAUACGUAGGGAGCAAGCGUUAUCCGGAUUUAUUGGGUGUAAAGGGUGCGUAGACGGGAAGACAAGUUAGUUGUGAAAUCCCUCGGCUUAACUGAGGAACUGCAACUAAAACUAUCAUUCUUGAGUGCUGGAGAGGAAAGUGGAAUUCCUAGUGUAGCGGUGAAAUGCGUAGAUAUUAGGAGGAACACCAGUGGCGAAGGCGACUUUCUGGACAGUAACUGACGUUGAGGCACGAAAGUGUGGGGAGCAAACAGGAUUAGAUACC
rnacentral:rRNA from 1 species